GGAGAACCGCAGAGUCUCCGCUUCAGGCGUUUGGACUCAGUGGAGGUUGUGAGUGCCCAGCAGUGUGGCCUGAAUCUCCGUGGAGUUUAGGGAGACGAAAGGACCCCAGAUCGACGUCCCCUCGUUCCCACUUUGGGGAUCGGCGCUCUGGCUGUUUCGUGAAGGAGAGAGAGGUUGAUUCCAUACCCUGGCUAUUGUGAAUAAUGCUGCAGUGAACAUGGGAGUACAUACAUCUGUUUGAGGAACUCAGAGUGGUUUUCCAGAUGGGAAUCACAUUGCUCUCUGUCCCUGAGAUCUUGCUGGAGACAGGGCUACUCAGUCCCUCUUUGCCAGAUUGAUAUUGGAAAAGCAGUUUCUAUUGAGCCCCCAAAUGAAGAGUGAGUGCAGAUGAAGAGGAGGCAGGACUCACAAGCCCUUGACCUUCAUUCCAGAUCCGUUAGCACCUACAGGAUCCUGCACCGGGAUUUCAUCUGUACUAUCAGCUUCUUCAAAGAGAGAGAGGUUGUUGAAUUGAUAUUGGAAAAGCAGUUUCCCAUUGAGUCUCAAAUGAAGAGAGAGUGCAGAUGAAGAGGAGCUCUUCAUGUGGAUGUCUGAGCUCAUAUCAGGUGUCUGAAAGAGGCAGAUUCUGAGGAUUUGGGUCAUGAUGGCUGCCAAAGCUUCUACUCCUGACUUAAAGGGCAACAAUCCUAGGAGACCACCAGCACUUAAUCCCUGGUAGGACAUGACACCUGCUUAUGGCUCAGAAGUGACAAAAGAGAAUUAUCAGGAUGGCAGUCCUUAUAACCAGAUGCUUAUCAACAUUCUUCACUACAUUCUGAAGAUGAAUUUCUACAAGGGAAAUUGUUUAUAUUUGUUGUUAGGGAAUAGAUAAGGAAAGAAGAAAAAGGCCCUGGUGAGAAACCCAUUGUACCUUCUGGAUAUGAUCACCACCCAAUUUUAUCAGUGUCAUUGAUCACUAACCCAUUGCCUCGUAUGGUGCCAGGCACAGAGUUACUCCAAGAAUGUACAAUAAUGGCUGGAUUCUCUUUCUCCCUGUGCAACUCUUCAUGCAUGUGACUGAACUUAUAUUAAGUGUCUGAAGGAGGUUCGUUCUGAGGACCUGGGACGUGAUGGGUGCUGAAGCUUCUACUCAAGAUUUGAAGGGCAGCUGUCCUCAGGAGACCCCUGGCACUUCCCUCCCUGGUGGGAUAUGAUGCCUGAUUCCAGUGAGUUCAUAGAGCUGAACAAAAGCAUGUUAUGGAAUAGCUCCUGUGAGGUUCACAACAUAGUCCAGAAGAUGAGAAACUACUUUUUUUAGUAACCUGGAUUCCCAUCUAAGAGAUGCCUUACUUUAUCAUAAAGCAAUGAAUUGUUCACUUGAGGAGGGAACUUCAUGUUUAACAUGUAUUUGCAACAAAUUUACAUACAUUUUCUGCCUGUAUGAAUAGUUGUCAGUGAUGCCCAUGAAUUUCUCAGAUGGAUGUUGAACUAUACAGUUAGAAGGUUAGAAGAUCUUCCUAGCAAUCUGAUUACGGUAUGCAUUCUUCCAUGGUUUCUAUGUUUUUGUCUAUUCUAUAAUGAAAUUUUCUAAGAAGCCAGAAAUUAAUUAAGUGCUACCUAAAAAUAUCAAAAUGUCAGGUACAAGAAUUUGGCAUUUUCAAAAUUAAUAAUUACAAUGUAAGUUUGCCCUAUUAUAAUGAUACCCAGCUAUGUCCACUAAGAUAACUAGAUUGUUCUGAAUACCAUUAUUAUUUCCCAAUAAUAUAAACAUCACAAUUUCAGUUCUGUAGUACCUGGCCUACCUACCCUUCCCACUGCCUUGCCCCAGGUAAACACAGCAUGCCUGUCACUGUACAUUAUUUUACAUGUCCGGAAAUAUAUUUAAAUGGAAUCAUAGAGGUGGUUUCUUUUUUUUUUUUUUAUCAACACCUGGCUUUUUUCAUUCACUCCACUUAUAUUUAUCCAUUUUAUUGCAUUUAUCUAUUGAUAUACUUCAUUCUUUUUGAUUGCUAAAUACUAUUGCAGUAUACAACCACACUAAACAUUUUAUUAUCCAUCCAUUUGUCGAUGGACAUUUUGGUUGUUUCUCAUUUGGGGCUCUUGUAAAUAAAGCUGCUAUGAAUAUU
rnacentral:lncRNA from 1 species